CGCGCAGGCGGGUCAAUAAGUCAGAGGUGAAAUCCUACAGCUCAACUGUAGAACUGCCUUUGAUACUGCUGAUCUUGAGUAUGGAAGAGAGAGACGGAAUUCCAGGUGUAGUGGUGAAAUACGUAGAUAUCUGGAAGAACACCAGUUGCGAAGGCGGUCUCUUGGUCCAAUACUGACGCUGAGGCGCGAAAGCGUGGGUAGCAAACCGGAUUAGAUACCCGAGUAGUCC
rnacentral:rRNA from 1 species